UUUCUCUCUCUGGUUCGACUCUGUAUCUUCUUCUUUUCUUUUUCUGUGUGAACUUUGUGGUAUAACAAAAAACUCUUGGUCUUGUGGUUAGAUUUGAAUGGUUGGAGUUUGUGUGAUUCUUUACCUUGAGUUUGAGAGAGUUUUGGUUGAUUUUUUUUGAAAAGAUUUGGGUCCAUUGAAACAAAUGCCUUUGUUUUGUAGUUUAGGGUUAUGGUUGGUGGAUCGUUCAUGUUGUGAAGACGGGGACAAUGGAUAUCUGAGCCCAAAAUUUGUGAUCUCUUGAUGCUAAUGUAGAUCUAAAGUCUAUAAUUUUUUGAGUCGAUUCUUGGGUCUUGAGUUGUAACAAUGUUAUCAGAGCCUUCUAACUGGUCGAGUCCCAUCUUCGAGAUUUGGUCAUGGAAAAUCAAUUUUCACAACCGAAUCUUAUGAGAUCUAAUGAGCCGUGGAAACCCUAUAUUCAAUUGGUGACGGAUCUUGGUUUUCAGUUAAUGAUUCUUUAAGAGAUACUGGUUCUAUAAUGGUUAUUGUUGUUGAAUCUUGUAGAAAAUAAGUCAGAUCUUGGAUUUCCUUUGUGAAUCGUUCUGUAAAUACCUGGGUAUUUGAAGUGAUACUCAAAAU
rnacentral:lncRNA from 1 species